rnacentral:rRNA from 1 species
CUACGGGGGGCUGCGGUAGGGAAUCUUCGGCAAUGGACGGAAGUCUGACCGAGCAACGCCGCGUGAGUGAAGAAGGUUUUCGGAUCGUAAAGCUCUGUUGUAAGAGAAGAACGAGUGUGAGAGUGGAAAGUUCACACUGUGACGGUAUCUUACCAGAAAGGGACGGCUAACUACGUGCCAGCAGCCGCGGUAAUACGUAGGUCCCGAGCGUUGUCCGGAUUUAUUGGGCGUAAAGCGAGCGCAGGCGGUUAGAUAAGUCUGAAGUUAAAGGCUGUGGCUUAACCAUAGUACGCUUUGGAGACUGUUUAACUUGAGUGCAGAAGGGGAGAGUGGAAUUCCAUGUGUAGCGGUGAAAUGCGUAGAUAUAUGGAGGAACACCGGUGGCGAAAGCGGCUCUCUGGUCUGUAACUGACGCUGAGGCUCGAAAGCGUGGGGAGCAAACAGGAUUAGAUACCCGUGUAGUC